rnacentral:rRNA from 1 species
AUUGAACGCUGCCGGAAGGCCUAACCCAUGCAAGUCGAACGAGUGGCGGACGGGUGAGUAAUGUCUGGGACACUGCCCGAUGGCGGGGGGUAACUACUGGAAAAGGUAGCUAAUCCCGCAUACCAUCGGAUGUGCCCAGAUGGGAUUAGCUAGUAGGUGGGGUAACGGCUCACCUAGGCGACGAUCCCUAGCUGGUCUGAGAGGAUGACCAGCCAAACGGGAACUGAGACACGGUCCAGACUCCUACGGGAGGCAGCAGUGGGGAAUAUUGCACAAUGGGGGCAAGCCUGAUGCAGCCAUGCCGCGUGUAUGAAGAAGGCCUUCGGGUUGUAAAGUACUUUCAGCGGGGAGGCGUUACUCGCAGAAUAAGCACCGGCUAACUCCGUGCCAGCAGCCGCGGUAAUAC